rnacentral:lncRNA from 10 species
GGCCCAGGGCGGCCCCGUGUCCAUCUGCUACAUCUGUGGGGCUGAGCUGGGCCCCGGGAAGGAGUUCCAGCUCAACGUGAACCCCGCCAGCCGCUUGGGCGAGAAGGAGCCCUUCUUCCCCUUCCUCACCGUGUACCCGCCUGCCCCUCGUGCCAGGCCUGUGGACUCCACCGGCCUGGUGGCUACCUGUGUGCUCUGCUACCAUGACCUGCUGGCCCAGUGGCUGCAGCAUGAGGCCCGCAGCUCCCACCACGCUGUCAGCGCCUGGUCCCGGCAGUACCAGGUGGAGACGUUCGUGUGCUUCUUUUGUCAGCAGGAGAAGAAACGGUGUCUGGGGCUGAAGUCCGUGCGGGUGGCCCGGCUGCCCCUGUUCCUAUACACCCUGCGAGCAAGCCACAGCCUGUUGGUGGAUGACGGACAGCAGCUGAUCAUCGGUGCUUGCGUGGAGUGUGGGACCCUGGUGUGUGCGGGCCAAGGGCUCACCCGCCAAGGACCCAUGAGCUGGAGCUCCCCGGUGGCAGCAGCGACGAAGAUGAAUCGGCGCUGUUUCCACUAUGAUGCAGCUCCUCCAUCUCUGGCAGCAUCUUUGUCUUGGCACCUCUUUUAUCUGAAUUAUUCACAUCUGGACACUGAGGUCUCUGAGGUUCGGAGAGGGAAAGUGACUUGCCCAAGGCCACACAGGUGUCAGCUCCAGGGGCAGAGUGCUCCCUUCUCAGCCCAGCUGCACACAGGUUUUCUCUACUCCAACAGUCGCUUUGGGGCCAUGGGUCUGAGAGA